AAAGCAAUUCACCCACCUUGGCCUCCCAAAGUGCUGGGAUUACAGGUGUGAGCCACCUUGCUCAUUCUAGUUUAAACUUUUGAGUGGUUUGUGUCUCCUGAUUGGACUCCUACAAAUACAGAAUUGAUGGUAGGAAGGGUACCAGGAGAUAGACCCACACAGAUGGGAUUUGGGAAUAAGUUUGGUUAUCCAAGGAGCAGUGCUGAGCUCCUUGCUAAUGGGAUAUGGGAUGCUGGUGAUUUCCAGGAAGUGACCUCACAAUGACUCAAGCUACCACUUACUGUUGAUUGUGAUGAAAUACCAGGUGAAGGCCGGGUGCGGCAGCUCACCCCUGUAAUCCCAGCACUUUGGGAGGCCAAGGCGGGCGGAUCACUAGGUCAGAAGAUCGAGACCAUCCUGGCUAACACGGUGAAACCCCGUCUCUACUAAAAAUACACAAAAUUAGCUGGGCAUGGUGGCGGGCACCUAUAGUCCCAGCUACUCGGGAGGCUGAGGCAGGAGAAUGGUGGGAACCUGGGAGGCGGAGCUUGCAGCGAGCCGAGAUCCUGUCACUGCCCUCCAGCCUGGGCGACAGAGUGAGACUCCGUCUCAAAAACAAAAAAAAGAAAUACCAGGUGAAGCAUAUGCCCUGCAAGCUUAGGGGUGCUACAGUUGACCACUGUAGCAGUAAAGAUGACUGAAGAAUAGCAUGGGAUGGAUCCUUUCGAAUGCACUUGAGCAGCAGUCUCCAACCACAGGGCCACAGAGCCAGAGGUGAGCAGCAGCUGGAUCUACCAUGAAAGACUUCUGAAUCCAGGAAAAGAGACUGACUGGGUAACAUGUUAUUCAGGGUCUCCCUCUCUUGUCCAAGGCUGGAGUGUAGUAGUGCUA